rnacentral:rRNA from 1 species
AAUAGAUACCCCGGUAGUCCACGCCGUAAACGAUGGAUGCUAGCUGUUCGGCGUAAGCUGAGUGGCUAAGCGAAAGUGAUAAGUAUCCCACCUGGGGAGUACGAACGCAAGUUUGAAACUCAAAGGAAUUGACGGGGGCCCGCACAAGCGGUGGAGCAUGUGGUUUAAUUCGAUGAUACGCGAGGAACCUUACCAGGGCUUAAAUGUAGAUUGACAGGUUUAGAGAUAGACUUUUUCUUCGGACAAUUUACAAGGUGCUGCAUGGUUGUCGUCAGCUCGUGCCGUGAGGUGUCAGGUUAAGUCCUAUAACGAGCGCAACCCCUGUUGUUAGUUGCCAGCAAGUCAAGUCGGGAACUCUAACAAGACUGCCAGUGCAAACUGUGAGGAAGGUGGGGAUGACGUCAAAUCAUCACGGCCCUUACGUCCUGGGCUACACACGUGCUACAAUGGUAGGGACAGAGAGCAGCCACUUCGCGAGAAGGAGCGAAUCUAUAAACCCUAUCACAGUUCGGAUCGGAGUCUGCAACUCG